GCCGCCGUAACGUAGCCUGGCAGCGUACGGGCCUGUGGAGCCCGGAGGCCGGGUUCAAAUCCCGGCGGCGGCC
rfam:Candidatus Bathyarchaeota archaeon B24 scaffold2600, whole genome shotgun sequence.